GCUAGCUACAGGCUUAACACAUGCAAGUCGAGGGGCAUCAGGAAGAAAGCUUGCUUUCUUUGCUGGCGACCGGCGCACGGGUGAGUAACACGUAUCCAACCUGCCCUUUACUCGGGGAUAGCCUUUCGAAAGAAAGAUUAAUACCCGAUAGCAUAAUGAUUCCGCAUGGUUUCAUUAUUAAAGGAUUCCGGUAAAGGAUGGGGAUGCGUUCCAUUAGGUUGUUGGUGAGGUAACGGCCCACCAAGCCUUCGAUGGAUAGGGGUUCUGAGAGGAAGGUCCCCCACAUUGGAACUGAGACACGGUCCAAACUCCUACGGGAGGCAGCAGUGAGGAAUAUUGGUCAAUGGGCGCUAGCCUGAACCAGCCAAGUAGCGUGAAGGAUGAAGGCUCUAUGGGUCGUAAACUUCUUUUAUAUAAGAAUAAAGUGCAGUAUGUAUACUGUUUUGUAUGUAUUAUAUGAAUAAGGAUCGGCUAACUCCGUGCCAGCAGCCGCGGUAAUACGGAGGAUCCGAGCGUUAUCCGGAUUUAUUGGGUUUAAAGGGAGCGUAGGUGGACUGGUAAGUCAGUUGUGAAAGUUUGCGGCUCAACCGUAAAAUUGCAGUUGAUACUGUCAGUCUUGAGUACAGUAGAGGUGGGCGGAAUUCGUGGUGUAGCGGUGAAAUGCUUAGAUAUCACGAAGAACUCCGAUUGCGAAGGCAGCUCACUGGACUGCAACUGACACUGAUGCUCGAAAGUGUGGGUAUCAAACAGGAUUAGAUACCCUGGUAGUCCACACAGUAAACGAUGAAUACUCGCUGUUUGCGAUAUACAGUAAGCGGCCAAGCGAAAGCAUUAAGUAUUCCACCUGGGGAGUACGCCGGCAACGGUGAAACUCAAAGGAAUUGACGGGGGCCCGCACAAGCGGAGGAACAUGUGGUUUAAUUCGAUGAUACGCGAGGAACCUUACCCGGGCUUAAAUUGCAGUGGAAUGAUGUGGAAACAUGUCAGUGAGCAAUCACCGCUGUGAAGGUGCUGCAUGGUUGUCGUCAGCUCGUGCCGUGAGGUGUCGGCUUAAGUGCCAUAACGAGCGCAACCCUUAUCUUUAGUUACUAACAGGUUAUGCUGAGGACUCUAGAGAGACUGCCGUCGUAAGAUGUGAGGAAGGUGGGGAUGACGUCAAAUCAGCACGGCCCUUACGUCCGGGGCUACACACGUGUUACAAUGGGGGGUACAGAAGGCAGCUAGCGGGUGACCGUAUGCUAAUCCCAAAAUCCUCUCUCAGUUCGGAUCGAAGUCUGCAACCCGACUUCGUGAAGCUGGAUUCGCUAGUAAUCGCGCAUCAGCCACGGCGCGGUGAAUACGUUCCCGGGCCUUGUACACACCGCCCGUCAAGCCAUGGGAGCCGGGGGUACCUGAAGUACGUAACCGCAAGGAUCGUCCUAGGGUAAAACUGGUGAAAA
rnacentral:rRNA from 1 species